rnacentral:rRNA from 1 species
GUAAGGAAUAUUGGACAAUGGACGCAAGUCUGAUCCAGCCAUGCCGCGUGAAGGAUUAAGGUCCUCUGGAUUGUAAACUUCUUUUAUAAGGGACGAAAAAAGGCUUUUCUAAGUCGUCUGACGGUACCUUAUGAAUAAGCACCGGCUAACUCCGUGCCAGCAGCCGCGGUAAUACGGAGGGUGCAAGCGUUAUCCGGAUUCACUGGGUUUAAAGGGUGCGUAGGCGGACAGGUAAGUCAGUGGUGAAAUCCUAGAGCUUAACUCUAGAACUGCCAUUGAUACUAUCUGUCUUGAAUAUUGUGGAGGUAAGCGGAAUAUGUCAUGUAGCGGUGAAAUGCUUAGAUAUGACAUAGAACACCUAUUGCGAAGGCAGCUUACUACGCAUAUAUUGACGCUGAGGCACGAAAGCGUGGGGAUCAAACAGGAUUAGAUACCCUUGUAUCC